AACGAACGCUGGCGGCAUGCCUAACACAUGCAAGUCGAACGAGACCUUCGGGUCUAGUGGCGCACGGGUGCGUAACGCGUGGGAAUCUGCCCUUGGGUUCGGGAUAACAGUUGGAUACGACUGCUAAUACCGGAUGAUGUCUUCGGACCCAAGAUUUAUCGCCCAGGGAUGAGCCCGCGUCGGAUUAGCUAGUUGGUGAGGUAAAGGCUCACCAAGGCGACGAUCCGUAGCUGGUCUGAGAGGAUGAUCAGCCACACUGGGACUGAGACACGGCCCAGACUCCUACGGGAGGCAGCAGUGGGGAAUAUUGGACAAUGGGCGAAAGCCUGAUCCAGCAAUGCCGCGUGAGUGAUGAAGGCCUUAGGGUUGUAAAGCUCUUUUACCCGGGAUGAUAAUGACAGUACCGGGAGAAUAAGCCCCGGCUAACUCCGUGCCAGCAGCCGCAGUAA
rnacentral:rRNA from 1 species